UACGUAGGGAGCAAGCGUUGUCCGGAAUCAUUGGGCGUAAAGCGCGCGUAGGUGGCCUCAUAAGUCCGCUGUGAAAGUCAAAGGCUCAACCUUUGAAAGCCGGUGGAUACUGUGAGGCUAGAGUACGGAAGAGGCGAGUGGAAUUCCUGGUGUAGCGGUGGAAUGCGCAGAUAUCAGGAGAAACACCAAUAGCGAAGGCAGCUCGCUGGGACGUUACUGACACUGAGGCGCGAAAGCGUGGGGAGCGAACAGG
rnacentral:rRNA from 1 species